CUCACAAUAGGCUCCUUGUUGGAAUUCCUCAGGAGCAAGUUGGCCAGUGGCCAGCACGUGGGUGACCGAGGGGCUGUGGGUGUGAGCAGGGCUUUAGAAGACUCAGGAAGAGGAGGAGCUGGAGAGAAGUGAACUGUGGGUUCCUCGACGCAGGCUGCCGUACAGACCACAGCCUCUCUGGGACCUGUGGUCCAGAAAACAGGAGAAAGGAUGAGCACACCGGGAGACCCAGCCCAACCAGACCUUGAAAGCUGCAGAGGCACCAUGAGUGCCGAGGAGGACGCCAAGUGGCUUCAGUGGGUGACACACCAGUUUGAGACCAUUGCGGGAGAAGACCGGGAGAUCAACCUGCAAGAAUUCAAAACAGCCUUGAAUGUGAAAGAGUCCUUCUUUGCCGAGAGAUUCUUCGCCCUGUUUGACUCCGAUGGAAGUGGCACCAUCACGCUCCAGGAGCUGCUGGAGGCGCUGACCCUGCUCAUCCACGGCAACCCCAUGGACAAACUCAAAUUCCUCUUCCAGGUGUACGACGUUGAUGGCAGCGGCUCCAUCGACGCGGAUGAGCUGCGCACCGUGCUGCAAUCGUGCAUGCGCGAGAGCGCCAUCUCGCUGCCAGAAGAGAAGCUGGACCAGCUGACGCUGGCGCUCUUCGAGUCGGCCGACAAGGACAACAACGGCGCCAUCACCUUCGACGAGCUCCGGAACGAGCUUCAGCGCUUCCCCGGGGUCAUGGAAAACCUGACCAUCAGCGCCGCCCACUGGCUGACGCCCCCUGCCGCCCGGCCGCGCAGUCGCCGUCCUCGCCCUCUGACCUCCGCCUACUGGCACAACCACCGCAGCCACCUGCUCUGCCUGGCCGCCUACGCGGGCCUCCACGUGCUGCUCUUCACUCUGGCGGCCUACGCGCACCGGGCCCUGGGCGCCAGCGUCAUGGUGGCCAAGGGCUGCGGCCAGUGCCUCAACUUUGACUGCAGCUUCAUCGUGGUGCUGAUGCUCAGACGCUGCCUCACUUGGCUGCGGGCCACGUGGCUGGCUCAGGUCCUGCCGCUGGACCAGAACAUACAGUUCCACCAGCUCAUGGGCUGGGUGGUGGUUGGGCUCUCCCUUGUGCACACCGUGGCCCACGUUGCGAACUUCGCGCUCCAAGCUCAGUCCGGGGCCAGCCCCUUCCGGUUUUGGGAACUGCUUCUCACCACGAGGCCCGGCAUUGGCUGGGUCCGUGGCUCCGCCUCCCCGACCGGAGUGGCGCUGCUGCUGUUGCUGCUUCUUAUGUUUGCCUGCUCCAGCUCCUGCAUCCGAAGGAGCGGCCGCUUUGAGGUGUUCUAUUGGACUCAUCUGUCCUACCUCCCCAUGUGGAUCCUGCUCAUUGUGCACGGGCCCAGCUUCUGGAAGUGGCUGCUGGUCCCUGGCAUCUUGUUCUUCCUGGAGAAGGCCAUCGGGCUAGCGGUGUCCCGCAUGGCAGCCCUGUGCAUCGUGGAAGUCAAUCUCCUUCCCUCCAAGGUCACCCAUCUGCUCAUCAAGCGGCCCCCUCUGUUCCACUAUAGGCCGGGCGACUACCUGUAUCUGAACGUCCCCACCAUUGCGCGUUACGAGUGGCACCCGUUCACCAUCAGCAGCGCGCCGGAGCAGAAAGACACCAUCUGGCUACACGUCCGGUCCCAAGGGCAGUGGACAAACAGGCUGUAUGAGUCCUUCAAGGCAUCAGACCCUGUGGACUCCAAACGGCUGUCAAGGAGUUUGAGGAUGAGAAGGAGCCAGAGGAAGCCCCAGAGUUUUCAGUGCCAGCCCGUCCAGUCCGGAGCCGCGGUGCAGGGAGCUGUGGCCUCCAGCAAGGAUGUCACCGUGGAGCUGACAUCCUACAGGCCCAGGGGGACUCCACAGCAUGGGGACCCAGGCCCGGUGCCCACAGGGACAGAGGAAUCGGCUCAGGCACAGCGGAGAACCACGUCUGAGUGGGGUCUGGUCUCCGAGAUGUCCUCUGAGAACCAUCUGUUUUGCAACAUCAAGUGCUAUAUCGACGGCCCUUACGGAACCCCCACCCGCAGGAUCUUUGCCUCUGAGCAUGCGGUGCUCAUCGGAGCAGGCAUCGGCAUCACCCCCUUCGCUUCCAUCCUGCAGAGCAUCAUGUACAGGCACCAGAAGAGGAAGCACAUCUGCCCCAGCUGCCAGCACUCCUGGAUGGACAAUGUCCAGGAUGAGGACAUGAAGCUCCACAAGGUGGACUUCAUCUGGAUCAAUCGAGACCAGCGGUCUUUCGAGUGGUUUGUGAGCCUGCUGACCAAACUGGAGCUGGACCAGGCCGAGGAGACACGAGAGGGCCCCUUCCUGGAGCUGCAUAUGUACAUGACCUCUGCACUGGGCAAGAAUGACAUGAAGGCCAUUGGCCUGCAGAUGGCCCUCGACCUCCUGGCCAAGAAGGAGAAGAAGGACUUCAUCACGGGCCUCCAGACACGCACCCAGCCUGGGCGGCCUGACUGGAGGAAGACUAAACCCCGACUUUGUUCUGGGCAACCCCAGGUGAUAAAUGACAACCAGAUUAACUAGUCAUGAAAAAUCUGAGGUAGCCGCACGCUGCCCCAGGGUCUCCCCAGUGAUGAUGCAGACAAAUAACUGUUGGAGUUCACGUCCACGUGUUCACUGUGGCUUCCUCCGUCAUGACCGAAGAGAUUCUGGCACCUGUGUUUGAAAUUAUCCCCCGUCUGCCCCGCUUAAACCGUUGAUGAUGAGAUCUGUCGGCGGGGGCGGAGCGGCCUCAAUCAGGGGCACCUGUGACCCUGGACGGGUCCAGACGGCGCAGGCGCGGUCGAGAGGUCGCUGAGAGUCCGCAGGCUCCCUGGCUGAUGUGGUCCAGUCCCCUCCAAUGGAAGGCAGUCUAGCUUCCUCCGGACUGCCUGUCCCCAGCCAGCCCCCCCCCCCUCCCCCAGCCCCCACUGGAAUGGGAAAACACCUCCUACUGACCACGUGUGACCUUUGAACUUAGGUUUAACAGGCAUUGCUGCGUCUGCUUUGCUCGCUCUUGAAUAACUCCUUCUGGGGGAAACCAGCCACCAUGUUGUGAGAGUGCCCAGUGGAGAGGCCCACAUGGGGAGAAACGAAGGCUCGCCGCCAUCAACUGAGACCCACUUGCCAGCCCUGUGAGCGAGGGGACCCUCCAGCCCCCGCCCCCCACAACCCAGUGACUGCAGCCUCGUGAAAAAUGCGGAGGCAGACGCCACCUGACCGCGCGGCUCCCAGAUCAAUGCCUGGCAAAAACCCUUCUCCCAGCUGGAAGAAGACCGGUAGGAGGAAGGAAAAUGCAGCCUCACCGAGGACACCUCCUUUCUAGAAGGGCUUCCCAGGCUCCGAGAGGGAAGAAAGAAGUUUGGUACCAUUCAGGUAUUGGUGAUGCUGGGCCUCAUCGCUGCCUCAGCCUCCUCCUUCCCACCGCCCCAUCCCCCCACCCCUCUCUUGGGGAUAUUUGAAUUUCAAAAAAGGAGCAUGGGGAUCUGACAGAGGACUUGUAUACAGAAUAUAUAAAGAACUCCUACAAAUCAAUAAAGAAAAAAAAAAAAAACAGUGAAUAUAUAAGCAAAAG